AUUGAACGCUGGCGGCAGGCCUAACACAUGCAAGUCGAGCGGAUGAAGGGAGCUUGCUCCUGGAUUCAGCGGCGGACGGGUGAGUAAUGCCUAGGAAUCUGCCUGGUAGUGGGGGAUAACGUCCGGAAACGGGCGCUAAUACCGCAUACGUCCUGAGGGAGAAAGUGGGGGAUCUUCGGACCUCACGCUAUCAGAUGAGCCUAGGCCGGAUUAGUUAGUUGGUGGGGUAAAGGCCUACCAAGGCGACGAUCCGUAACUGGUCUGAGAGGAUGAUCAGUCACACUGGAACUGAGACACGGUCCAGACUCCUACGGGAGGCAGCAGUGGGGAAUAUUGGACAAUGGGCGAAAGCCUGAUCCAGCCAUGCCGCGUGUGUGAAGAAGGUCUUCGGAUUGUAAAGCACUUUAAGUUGGGAGGAAGGGCAGUAAGUUAAUACCUUGCUGUUUUGACGUUACCAACAGAAUAAGCACCGGCUAACUUCGUG
rnacentral:rRNA from 1 species